UACGUAGGGCGCAAGCGUUGUCCGGAAUUAUUGGGCGUAAAGAGCUCGUAGGCGGCUUGUCACGUCGGGUGUGAAAGCCCGGGGCUUAACCCCGGGUCUGCAUUCGAUACGGGCUGGCUAGAGUGUGGUAGGGGAGAUCGGAAUUCCUGGUGUAGCGGUGAAAUGCGCAGAUAUCAGGAGGAACACCGGUGGCGAAGGCGGAUCUCUGGGCCUUUCCUGACGCUGAGACGCGAAAGCGUGGGGAGCGAACCGG
rnacentral:rRNA from 1 species